rnacentral:rRNA from 1 species
CAAUAGCGUAUAUUAAAGUUGUUGCGGUUAAAAAGCUCGUAGUUGGAUUUCUGCCGAGGACGACCGGUCCGCCCUCUGGGUGUGUAUCUGGUUUGGCCUGGGCAUCUUCUUGGAGAACGUAGCUGCACUUGACUGUGUGGUGCGGUGUCCAGGACUUUUACUUUGAGGAAAUUAGAGUGUUUCAAGCAGGCACACGCCUUGAAUACAUUAGCAUGGAAUAAUAAGAUAGGACCUCGGUUCUAUUUUGUUGGUUUCUAGAGCUGAGGUAAUGAUUAAUAGGGAUAGUUGGGGGCAUUCGUAUUUAACUGUCAGAGGUGAAAUUCUUGGAUUUGUUAAAGACGGACUACUGCGAAGGCAUUUGCCAAGGAUGUUUUCAUUGAC